AAAAUAGUAAGUUCCUUGAAAAAUAAAAACAAUCAAGCAUUGCAUUUCAUGCAUCAUUUGCAUAACAGAUUUCUCUUUCUCCAGAUGUCUUAUUGGUAUUUCUUUUGUGCUUUAGCCAAGCUGACUCAUCGAUACAAUACCUGUGCCAAUCACUCAAAGAUUAUGGAGCAUCUAGAGCAAGAGAAUAUAGACUUGAAGGACAAGAUUGCCCGUCUGACUGCCAUGAUGGAGUCGGUAUUAUCUACUCAGAGCUAAUCUUCUCCGACACCUGCAACCCCUCAUCCUC
rnacentral:lncRNA from 1 species